rnacentral:rRNA from 1 species
GUGUCAGCCGCCGCGGUAAUACGAAGGGAGCUAGCGUUGUUCGGAAUCACUGGGCGUAAAGCGCACGUAGGCGGAUGUGUCAGUCAGGGGUGAAAUCCCGGAGCUCAACUUCGGAACUGCCUUUGAUACAGCACGUCUUGAGUCCGAUAGAGGUGGGUGGAAUUCCUAGUGUAGAGGUGAAAUUCGUAGAUAUUAGGAAGAACACCGGUGGCGAAGGCGGCCCACUGGAUCGGUACUGACGCUGAGGUGCGAAAGCGUGGGGAGCAAACAGGAUUAGAAACCCCCGUAGUCC